GGGCGCCUCCCUGCUCGCCACGAUGCUGACGGGACCGAAAGCACACACAGCAAGUGGGGAGUAUGGCUGGCUGAGGGUUCCCUGUGUCACAACGCAUGUCUUUACCUCUGGUUUUCUGCCACAGACUCUGGAUCCCAAGGGUCCAAAGGGAAUUGCAGAGGGGAAGAAUUCAGUCUUCCUUUUCUCCUCUGUGGCUUCCGGUGGCUGCAUUUGCAACUAGACUGUUCCAGACACAGCUCCACAAAAGACCGCUUCCUCCCUGGUUGCUUGCUCACUUAUGUGCCCAGUGCCUGGGCCCGGCAGCCACACUUCUGUCUCCACUGCAUUUGCACUUGAGUUUCCUAAACACCCUCUAAGUGGCCAACACUAUUAAUGAAUGCACAAACAUGAAAGAAUAUUCUCUCAAUACAUUUCAGGGUGGGUACUCAUCAGAUGAACACAUUUUCAGUUACUAAGUUAAUGACAACAAUUGAAGACAUUGGAAAUUUUUAUUCAUCUUUGCUUUAAAACAGAACCGAAAGCGUCAACUUAAGAAUUCAUUUUACCUGCUGGUUUCCGCAAGCUAGUUAUGUGAACCAUAUUUUACAAAUAAUAAUAAUAUUACAACAAUAAUUAUGGAGAAGUUAAUUGGAUAAUAGAGCUUUUCCACAAUUCAAGUAGAAACACAGAAGAAACUAGAUAAUUUUAAGUCCGCUAACUCAAGACAUGCUGGUGCGAGCCCGGCCUGUGAGGUCCCAUUGCCUGUGUCUCUUGGGGGCCUUAGGAAAGACUACAGUUUGCGUGCCUCUGGGGAAAUGUCUACACUACAGAAAAUCUUUGGGUGUUCAGUAGUUCUCCAGAGAUUUUAAGUGGUACCAUAACAGCCUAUCUGGAGAACUUAUUUCUAAAUAAUUUGAAAAACAAACAAGAAACCAUUAGGGUUUUUAUGCUCUCCACAGGGCCUGCUCUUCCCUCCCCUACCCUGCUCUGCCCGCCACUGCCCUGCAGACACUCUCCCAGGACUAUGGGAACCCAAGCUCUCUCCUCUGGGCCAGACAAACAGUGCUCAGGCCACGCACCUCCUCAGAAAAGGGGGCACGGGUUGGCAUGUCUUCAGAGAGCUCUGAGUAAACUCCCCGGGCCCAGGGACGCAGGGGAGCCUGGUGGUUGCUGCAGAGCCGACUUCACGUUCCCCUAAACAACCUUUCUAAACUAGAGAUUUCUAGACUAAGACAAAAUCAACACGCAUUCACACUUUAUACUCUACUGUACUCUACUCCAUUUUCAACCCCUUGGAUUUAAACUCAGUGUGGAGAAUCUGUGAUAAGCACCUUCCAAAUUCCUCCAGGAUCAUCUGCUCUGCCAGGCACUUGGAGCAGUGUUCUUUCUCGGCUUCUUCUCCCUGAGCCAGCAGGCAGGCGCAUGUGGCCUCCACCACCUCCCAGGAGAUGCAUGAGGAAGGCCGCCUGUCAGAAACAGAGCAGUUAAAGGCCACUCAACAGCGCAUGGUUUCUACCUAUAGUACUAUUUAUAUUCAACAGAAUAUUGCUUGUCCACACUAUUUUAAAGAACAUCAUCCACUAAAAUCUAAUGUUGUCUUCCUCAUACUGGAAACUAUUAGGCCAGGCACAGUGGCCUGUAAUCCUAGCACCUUGGGAGGCCAAGGCAGGAGGAUGGUCUGAAGCCAGGAGUUUGAAACCAGCCUGGGCAACAAAGUGAGACACUGUCUCUCUUUUUUUUUUUGUUUUUUUUUUGUUUUUUUUUAAUACUGAGUCUUGUUCUGUCACCAGGCUAGAGUGCAAUGGCAUAAUCUCAGCUCACUGCAACCUCCGACUGCCUGGUUCAAGUGAUUCUCCUGCCUCAAUCUCCCAAGAAGCUGGGAUUAUAGGCAUGUGCCAUGAUGCCUGGCUAAUUUUUGUAUUUUUAGGAGAGAUGGGGUUUUGCCAUGUUGGCCAGGAUGGUCUCAAUCUCCUGACCUCUUGAUCUGCCCUCCUCAGCCUCCCAAAGUGCUGGGAUUAUAGGCGUGAGCCACCACGCUCGGCCGACAUCUUGUCUCUUAAAAAAAAAAAAAAAAAA
ensembl:lncRNA